rnacentral:rRNA from 1 species
UUUGUGCUGUCGCAGAUGGAUGAGCCUGCGUUGGAUUAGCUAGUUGGUGGGGUAAGGGCCUACCAAGGCUAUGAUCCAUAGCUGAUUUGAGAGGAUGAUCAGCCACAUUGGGACUGAGACACGGCCCAAACUCCUACGGGAGGCAGCAGUGAGGAAUAUUGGACAAUGGGGGCAACCCUGAUCCAGCAAUGCCAUGUGUGUGAAGAAGGCCUUAGGGUUGUAAAGCACUUUAGUUGGGGAAGAAAGCUUUGAGGUUAAUAGCCUUGAGGAAGGACGUUACCCAAAGAAUAAGCACCGGCUAACUCCGUGCCAGCAGCCGCGGUAAUACGGGGGGUGCAAGCGUUAAUCGGAAUUACUGGGCGUAAAGGGUCUGUAGGUGGUUUGUUAAGUCAGAUGUGAAAGCCCAGGGCUCAACCUUGGAACUGCAUUUGAUACUGGCAAACUAGAGUACGGUAGAGGAAUGGGGAAUUUCUGGUGUAGCGGUGAAAUGCGUAGAGAUCAGAAGGAACACCAAUGGCGAAGGCAACAUUCUGGACCGAUACUGACACUGAGGGACGAAAGCGUGGGGAUCAAACAGGAUUAGAUACCCUGGUAGUCCACGCUGUAAACGAUGAGUACUAGCUGUUGGAGUCGGUGUAAAGGCUCUAGUGGCGCAGCUAACGCGAUAAGUACUCCGCCUGGGGAACUACGGCCGCAAGGCUAAAACUCAAAGGAAUUGACGGGGACCCGCACAAGCGGUGGAGCAUGUGGUUUAAUUCGAUGCAACGCGAAGAACCUUACCUGGUCUUGACAUCCUGCGAGCUUUUUAGAGAUAGAUUGGUGCCUUCGGGAACGCAGUGACAGGUGCUGCAUGGCUGUCGUCAGCUCGUGUUGUGAAAUGUUGGGUUAAGUCCCGCAACGAGCGCAAC